UGAGGAAAGGCUACAGCGACAAGAGAAUCGCAACUUUGGUCCUGUCAGGUGUGUGUGAGAGAGAAAGAGAAAGAGAUUUAUUAUAAGGAAUUGGCUCAUUCAGUUAUGGAGGCUGAGAAGUCCCACAAUCUGCCGUCUGCAAGCUGGAGACCCAGAAAAUCUGGCAUGUAGUUCCAGUCCAAACUUGAAGGCGAGAGCCGGGGGAGUUGAUGAUGAUUCACUACUGGGCAUGGAGCCCUUUCCUCUCUACAGUUUCUUUACCGUCCAGAUCUGCCAGCUGCAAAGGGCAGCCAUUUGCACUCAGACACACCAGUUGUUCCCUUUUUCAUGAGGGCAAGAAACAAUGAAACAGGAUUGCCUCAGGCAGACCAAGACUGACUACGGCUCGCAUACUCAAUCUCUCUCCCUCCUAUACCACAUUUUAUAUUAGUUUCACACAUUAUCUCAUUUGAUGGGGAAGAAGGAUUGAGGAACACAAAGGUCCAGACUCUUCCCUCUGUUCAAGACAAUUCUGAAGGGCCAUCCCGGCUUCAGAACUCCCCACGAGAUCAGCUGAGGCCUCUGUUGCAACUGCAUCAUAAUCAUAAUCCGACAUCUCCUUCUGCCAACCUUGUUUCACUCCCACCCUUAGAGGUGUUGUUCCUGGUAGCAUCUCCCAAUAAAAUUCUUGCGUAUGUUGAAGAACAACCAGAGCUAGACAGUAGUUAAAAUUUUAUUCAAUAUUUUUUAAUUCAAUAUUGCAAUAUUAUUUAUUGUAAUAGGAGAAAAGAGAUCUCAGUAUAGAACUAAGCUCAGUUCCAAAAACAACAAGGACAAGUGGGGAUUUACAGCCAAGGAGCAGGGCAGGGGUCAGUGGAUGGAAAACUGCUAAGAGGAAACAUCAGGGGUCAGAGGGGAUCCUGACUAAACCGACCUGACAAGAUUCUUCUGACAGCAGGCCAGGGUGAUAAAAUAUCACCUGGGGGAUGCUAGGGGAUGAAGAAUUUGAUUAGAUAUCGAAGGUGAUCAAAUAUGCAGGGUGGGGGAUACUCUCUAAACUGACUCAACAGGAUUCUUGCUAAAACUGGGUGAUGCAGGCCUGACAAGGACAGACACUGAAGCCCAAGGUCAAAGCCUAGUUGAGAAGAGGCCUUAGAGGAUCCUGACUAGAGUCUGGUCAAGGAGAUAGUCUUUGUCACAUGAAAACUUCUGUCUCUUUCUUGGGGAAUCUGACUUAUGACAUCAACCUUGAAUUAUCAACCAACUAUUUUUCUAGGCAAGCAUGCACACACGCAUACACUUCUGUCUAUUUUUAUUAUCAUUGUAUUAUUUUUAAAAAGUUACUUUAAUUCCAAUAAAGAAAGAAGCAUAAUUGCAGAGUAAAUUAAAAAUGCUUUGAAUUAGGGGCCAGCUCCAUGGCUGAGUGGUCAAGUUCGCACGCUAUGCUUUGGCAGCCCAGGGUUUCGUCAGUUUGGAUCCUGGGUGUGGACAUGGCACCACUCGUCAAGCUAUGCUGAGGUGGCAUCCCACAUGCCACAACUAGAAGGACCCACAACUAAAAAUAUACAGCUAUGUACCGGGGGGCUUUGGG
ensembl:lncRNA